AUGAUCUGCCGCUGGAUUCCGAAAACCUCAGGGUUCAAAUUUAUGUACUCUGUCCAAAUUUUAAAAACUACAACCACCCAAGUGAGAGCACUAAUUCAGAUGUUGCUGGCAUUAGGUCUGCAUUGGUGUGUGUCGGUGUGUUGGUGUGUGUUGGGUCCGGGCAUUAGCGGAACAUUCCUCAUUUAUUUACACUCGGCUUCAAAGACUCACUCCCGCAUUGGCGUCUGCUUCAUCCAGUCCAUCAAACAGCAAACAAUCCAGGUCUACAAUUAUCUUUCCUUUGAGACAUCUUCACAAGGCCAAGAGAAGAGAACAACAGACUGCAGAGUGAGAGAACUGCAGCAGGAAAAUGAGGGAAGCCUGAGGAAACUUCAGGAGACGGCAGAGCAGUUCGAGUGGCUCUGUCAGCAACAGCGUUACUGGAUGUCUUGUGUGAAGAGGUUCAAAGACUGCCUCAUGGAGGAGAGAGAAGCUCUGCUGCGACAGGUCAGCAGGUUGGAAAAGAAAGCUGAGAAACUAAAGCGUUCACACGACGGCAGUCCAACACGGAGGCUUGUCUGCCCCCUUCAGGACGCCGAGAGCUGUGACAGUAUAACAUCAUGGGAGGCAGAUGCAGUGACCAACCUGGAGUCUCAGGUGGAGAAGUCAAACGUGCUGUAUGAAGAGCUCCUCGACCAGGCAGGGAGCCCUAUCAACGGAUACCAAAAACCUCCAUGAGGACAGAAGCCUGGAUGUCUUUGCUUUCUUUUCUCACCUUCUGCAAGCCAGGAGAUGCAAUGUUUUAUGUGUUUGUGGUUAGCUUACCUUCCAGUCAUUGUUUUGAAAAACCAAACACCCUUGGAAAAACACACCCGUGAAGCCACACACGCAUUGUUUUGUUUCCACUAUUGUUCAUUGUGAUAUAUGACCGAAUUAAAAUACAAUGUGCUCCUGUCCCGCUUUUGGUGUCACACAUGCACAUCACAUGUGCCUCGAGUCUGUCUGGUCACAUUUUUCAGUAAUUGUCCAUUGUUCAAACCUUGUAAUCAACACCACUAACAAGAGCACAAGCACCUGCAAAUGUUCUCUUUUGUUGUUUUGCCAAUGAAACGUUGCAGGACAACCAGCAGCUGGCGUGCAGAGGAAGCAACAAAUGUUCUUUUCAACAAAAUGAAGCUAUACUGAUUAUCCCCCCACUGGUACAGCUUGACUCUGAUGAUCAGAUCUCUUCAUUCAUCAGUUUGCAUGUGGCUCACAUUAAACACAGUGACUCAGACGCUUUAUCAUAUGUGAACCAUAUGAUACACACAUAUUGCAAACGCAGUUUACACACGGUGAGCCAAGACUUUUAAAGUAUGCAUUGUGUCACACUACAAACAUUACACUGCAAUCAACAUGAGGAGCUACACGUUUAUUCAGGACUACAGCAAACUUUCAACAUGCAUAAGAAAUCUUAACAUCACUAAACCAUUAAUGACACUGGAACCAUCAUUAUAUUUCAUCGGUGGUGCUGGGACAACAUUUUUUUCUUUGCCCACCUUAAAGUUAGCAUGACAGGGGUUCGUUUGACCAACAGUGGACAAGAAGGCCUGUGUGACUUAAGCUUUGACUCCAUGAUCAAUAGGCUUUACACAAACUACACCACAGUCUCAUAGCUUUAAUGGCACGACCACCAAGCUCCUGCACUCAGUCCGAUGAUGCUGAAUAGCAAACAUUUGUUUGCAAAUAUCAAACAUAUCUAAAACUUUGGGUAUGUUGCUACAUUUUAUGUCUAAAUCUCACAACCAAAAACCUGCUGACUUCAUGAUGAGUGAACCAUUACAGUUCUUACUGGUUUCAGGGCUUGAUCCAGUAUUUGAGGUAAUCAGUUUUUAGCCUGGAAAUAUUGCUAAUUCUCUAUGUGAAAUAAAAAUAAUGCAUAUAUAUAUAUGUUCAUAACUUACAUGAUUAAGUUAUGUUGGCCCAUAGCCUAUCAGAUCAUAAAUUUACAUGGUGUAUUGCAGAGGAGAGAUAGUUGGGCAUUAACCUAUGAACUUUGUUAUAAAAAUGAAAUUCCACAUUUCAGAACUGGAGGACAUAUUGCGACUAAAUCACACCAGGACCACAUUCAUCUUAGAGCUCUGCCUUUGCUUCAUUGUAAAACCCCCAUAUCGAAAGGUUUCUUGACUCUUUUGCUUAGUUGUUAUGGUAACAAAGUGACAGAAAAGGCAGUGACUGAAUUGGUAGUUUAUGCUACCGUAGCAUUCUUCCUUUUGCCAAAUGAAUGUUUGCUCUUUAAAAAUGAAUUAAUAACAGGUUACAAGCCUGUCUGACAGCAAAUAAAGCUCUUAACAUCCACCUCAGUUCUAUGAAGCAGAACUUUGUUUUGUCCAGGUAACUUUAGGGUAACCCUGG
ensembl:lncRNA